UUAGGAAUAUUGGGCAAUGGGGGAAACCCUGACCCAGCAACGCCGCGUGAAGGAAGAAGGCCUUCGGGUUGUAAACUUUUGUCUUCGGGGACGAUACAAGACGGUACCCGAGGAGGAAGCCACGGCUAACUACGUGCCAGCAGCCGCGGUAAUACGUAGGUGGCAAGCGUUGUCCGGAAUUAUUGGGUGUAAAGGGUGCGUAGGCGGCCGAGCAAGUCAGGUGUGAAAGAUAUGGGCUCAACCCAUGUACUGCACUUGAAACUGCCCGGCUUGAGGACAGGAGAGGUAAGCGGAAUUCCCAGUGUAGCGGUGAAAUGCGUAGAUAUUGGGAGGAACACCAGUGGCGAAGGCGGCUUACUGGACUGUAACUGACGCUGAAGCACGAAAGCAUGGGGAGCAA
rnacentral:rRNA from 1 species